rnacentral:rRNA from 1 species
AUUGAACGCUGGCGGCAUGCUUUACACAUGCAAGUCGAACGGUAACAGGCCGCAAGGUGCUGACGAGUGGCGAACGGGUGAGUAAUGCAUCGGAACGUGCCCAGUCGUGGGGGAUAACGCAGCGAGAGCUGUGCUAAUACCGCAUACGAUCUAUGGAUGAAAGCGGGGGACCGUAAGGCCUCGCGCGAUUGGAGCGGCUGAUGUCAGAUUAGCUAGUUGGUGGGGUAAAGGCCCACCAAGGCGACGAUCUGUAGCUGGUCUGAGAGGACGACCAGACACACUGGGACUGGGACACGGCCCAGACUCCUACGGGAGGCAGCAGUGGGGAAUUUUGGACAAUGGGCGCAAGCCUGAUCCAGCAAUGCCGCGUGCAGGAAGAAGGCCUUCGGGUUGUAAACUGCUUUUGUACGGAACGAAACGGUCUGGGUUAAUACCCUGGGCUAAUGACGGUACCGUAAGAAUAAGCACCGGCUAACUACGUGCCAGCCGCCGCAGUAA